rnacentral:lncRNA from 1 species
AAAAUCCCUCACCAGGAGUGCCCAGCAGCUUGGGUUUUAGUUAAUUCCAGAUGUAGUCAAGCAAGAGUGGCCAUUGUAUCUCCCUUGGAGAGGCGUGUAUAAAUUCCAUUGCGUAAGACUUCUAAAGAGAAGCAGAGGAGUCAGAACUCAUUUGGGAAAGCUAUUAGCCCUGGAAGUGUUUUUGUGGAAUAUCAAAAGUAGCUAAAUUUAUUUAUUUAUCAAUUAUCUAUUUGAUGUUUUGAGACAGUGCUCAAGCUGGCUUGGAACUUGCUACUGUAGCCCAGACCGGCCUCAGUCUUGGUCCAGUCUUCUCAUUUCACUGUUCUGAGCACUAGGAUUAGAGACGCCUCUCAUCACUCCUGACUUUAAAAGAAGUUUGUUUUAAAGUGUGAGGUGGGCUUGGUGUGUGCACGUCUGAAAUCCCAAAGGGCAGGAGAGUGUGAGUUCAAGGCCUGCCUGAGCAGCACAGCAAGACCAUAUCAAUCAAUCAUCAAUCAAUCAAAAAAUGAAUAAGUAAAGAAAGAAAUAAUAAGUAAAAAGCAUAAAUUGGCUAUAAUAAUUUGGUGUGAUCUAUUUCAUAAUAAAAGUUAUCCUCCCCAUUUUCUCUUUUUCCUCCUUUCCUUCCUAGAUCAAAGCAAGAUCUAGUCAGGUGUCAACAUGAGACUGUAGUGGAAUAAGAGGAGUGCAGGAGAUAAGGAGCACAGAUAUUGCCACAGGAGCAGAGAACAAUGGAGUGGCACUAUUAGAAGAUAUGGCCUUAUUGGAGGAGCUGUGUCACUGUGGGGACAGACUUUGAGGUCUCAAGUGCUGAAGCUACACCCCAGUGUGGCUCACAGUUUCCUUCUGCUGUCUAUAUAACAAGAUGUAGAGCUCUCAUCUCCUUCUCCAGCACCAUGUCUGCCUGCACAUGGCCGUGCUUCCUGCCAUGAUGAUAAUGAACUAAACCUCUGAACUGUAAGCCAGCCCCAAUUAAACAUUUUCCUUUAUAAGAGUUGCCACAGUCAUGACGUCUCUUCACAGCAAUAGAACUCUAAGACAAUGCCCUUGCUCAGCUAUUAUGGACCUUCUGAAAUAAUGUAUUAGGGUUCUCUAAAGUAACAGAAUUUAUAGAAUGAAUCUUUCUCUCUCACUCUCUCUCUCUUUCUCAUAUACAUAUACAUAUAUACAUAUAUAUGGGGAUCUAUUGAUACUCUCAUAUAUAUAUAUGGGGAUUUAUUGAUACUCAUAUGUAUAUAUAUGAAGGUGAUUUAUUGUGAAUGACUUAUAGGUUAUAGUCCAGCUAAUCCAACAAUGUCUGUCUAUGAACUGCAAGUCCAAAAAUCCAGUAUUUAUUCAGUCUACAAGACUGGAUGUCUCAGUUGGUCUUUAGUAUAUGCUGGAAUGUAGUCAAGUUGACAAGCAAGAAUAGUCAUCACAAACCAUAAGCCCAAAUUAAAUGUCUUCUUUUGUAACUUGUCAUGGUCAUGUGUCCUUUUGUUGUUGUUGUUGUUUUUGUUUUUUUGUUUUUUGCUUUUUGAGACAGGGUUUCUCUGUAUAGCCCUGGCUGUCCUGGAACUCACUUUGUAGACCAGGCUGGCCUCAAACUCAGAAAUCCACCUGCCUCUGCCUCCUGAGUGCUGGGAUUAAAGGUGUGCCGCCACCACGCCUGGCUUCCUUUUUUUUUUUUUUUUUUUUUUUUUUGGUCAUGUUGUCUUAUCAUAAUAAUAGAAAAGUAACUAAGAUAUAAAAUUUUUUUAUCUUAUGAGCAUGGAUGUUUUUUCCUGAAUGUCUGUAUGUGUUGUGUGUGGUUAGUGUCCAUAGAGGCCAGAGUCAGGUGUUGGAUCACCCAGAACUAAAGUUAUAAAUGGUCAUGAACUACCAUUUGGGUGAUGGGAAUUGAACCCAGGUUCUCUGCAAAAGUAGCCCAUACUCUUAACCACGAAGCCAUCUCUCUAGCCCC